GUUGCAACAUGUGACUCCAGCGCGACGGCGACCGAACGCCAACCGAGUGAGACACUUAUGCCUAACGAAUUACCGGAAAGGACAAGCCAAGAUGAAUAUAACUCAUCCCAUAGGUUCACAGGAGGAGAGGGCAAACCCUGGAUGACAAAGAGUUGCAUCAGCAAUUACUGAGCGACAUGACUCCAAGAGAGGUCUUGGUGCACUGCAGACUAACACGUAUAUUCUCCAUGAUCAGAUGAGGAUCAACAAUGCUGUCAGAACACAUUAAUGAGCAAGGAUAUUACUGAAGAAAUUUUUUGAAGAAUGAAUGGCUCAAGGUUGAAAACACUGUCACAGCCGCAUCACUUCAUCACUCCAGUCUUCCUUUCCUCUCCUCCGUUCUUUCCACGCUCCCACAGUUUUCACAGGCUCCCUGGAUGACUCACAUGCGGCCCUCUGCACCACCUCUGCCCUCCCCCGUAACUCCUAAACAGAGAUACCCAAGACCUCAAACUAUAGGUCUCUGUAUUUUCCUGAAAUGUGUGCAUUUCCCACAGCGUGUCUCAAUCAAAUGAGGAACACCUGUUCUGCAGCAAAUAUCAUUACUCUCCAUUUACUGAGCCAUAACUCACCACUCCUUCUAUUUCCCAAAGCUUUCCUCUCUUCCUUUUCCCCUUUCUCCCACCCCUCAAUUUCCUCAAUUUUUGUGUUUCAUUCAGUCAGUAUGUAUAAUGUGGAGAAACUCAGUCUGUUCCUAAGCUAAAAUAAAACCAUUCAUAUAAUUAUCAUUGUAAAACUGUUUUUAUUUAAGACACCGAUAUGAUUUGGCUAUUAUUAAAGCACUAUUUUAUUUUAAUGCUUACAUGGAAAAUGACCAAGGAGACUAUUUUAAACAAAGCUAGUUUUCAAAACCUUAAAGCCUUAAAAAAUAGUCGCAACACUGUCAGUAUGAGCAAUGUGACAGAUUCGGGCAGCUGGA